GUCCUCUUAUCUUCAUAAAGGUGUCGUCUCCCGUGUAGGGUCAAAGUCCUGCCACCAGACACUUCUGGCAACAUUCCAGGACUCCCAGGCCCCCCAAGGGUGGUCUCGGGGGCUCGGCAUGCCAGGACUCAAAUCCUGAGAUCCCACAGCCUACUAUGGAAAGCUAAGGGUAGGCACUGCUCAGGAAUAGAUGGAAGUGCUUCCAGAAAAGGCACCUGCAGAGAUUUUGGAGUGUUCAUAAUUGAGCCCAGGUAGGGAUCAGAUGUGAGCAUGGCUGCAAAGACCUGUAAAUAUAGGUUCCUUACAGAGGAAGGGGCCAUCUUGGCAGUUAAUAGCAAUUAUGGAAGGAUGAUUAGAUGUGCUAGGGAUGUUGCUUGCAUGCUGAACACUGGGUGCAUUUUAAGGUGGUGGCAUCUUUAAAGGAGACAACCAAAAAGAGACGAGACAUUGUAAAUAGUAUGUCUGUGCAUCAGGAACUAGCUGGGAGUGAGAAAAUGAGCUUUAAGGAUAGAGAAUACCCAGGACUAAAUGAUAGGGGAGAAACAGUACAAGAUGCAGACAGACAUGGGAAGGAGAGGGGCUUGAAGAAGAAGGUAUCUGCCCAGUGCAUUGACAGAGGAGCUGGGUAACUGUCAGAAGCAAUCAGAUAUCGUUUUUGAAACAAAUUUAAUUUGAAAACCAGCAAAUUUUCCAGUGGAAACAUUUUAUAAUAAUGUGUUCAUUUCAACAAGCUGCUGGUAAAAUGUAGGUGUUUUCUUCCUCUAGCCUACUUGGAGGAAAACUAAAGCUUCCAGAAUUUAUGGCUGUUGGACAGCUGUGCUGUCUAGCAACCAACUAGUUCUAACCUAAGCUACUGCAUCCACCUGAUGGCAUGGUGCUGUGCAGAGACAUGACUGUAGCCAAAAUCAUUAGUGGAGGAUCAUAUCUGAGGCAAUAAAUUUUUGGUUUUCCUGCUUAUUCAGCUAGUCAGCUGCUCCCUGUAUAGUGCACCCUGCUUCAUUAAGAGAGAUAGAUGUCUUGCACAGCAUUUGCUGACAGCUGCUUGCAUGGCCACCUGCAAACAGUACAAGGAUAGGAGUUGUGUAAUUGCCAGCACUCCUGAUAAAGGGGUCAAAAUCACAUUAAUUUGUUGCAACUCAUGAAACUAUCCACAAUUUAUUAGUGUUAUCUUAAAUAAAUAUGUAAGUUUUACUUAAUUGCUGAGAAACAAAUAACCCAGGUACCCCUUUAUAUCACAGCUUGCACAGGUUUACACAAAAAACAGCCAACCAGAAGUUUAUUGAUGUAUAGACAAGGUAAUAACUGCCCCUGUUAAUCUGUCCCCAGAGAAUUUGAUGUUAUCCUUCCAGGGAGUUUUGUCCCCUGUUGUGAUAAGCAGCCAGAAAUUUUUAAAGCUCUUUAAGCUUUUGUUUAAAAGUCAGAAAUGGUGGUAAGUUAUUAGCAGAAUAUGCUAAAUCUGGUGUAAUUUUAUCCUGGAAUAAUUUUUUGCAGCCUCAAAUGAAAGUACUAUGAGGUGAUCAGCAAGUAUUUGAAAUGCAAUUGAAUGGAAAAGAGUGGAAUAAGAAAUGAAAUUUUAACAAAUUUUUAAUCUACUACUAAGUGAAUGCUAAUAAGUAAGUGCAUUGAAACUGUGUAUGUGAGUUUGGAUAAUAUAUUUUCUUUAAUACAUAAUUAAGGUAGCGCCAAUUAAAAAACAAGCAAUAAAAAGUUAAUGUGCCCAAAACAGACUUGGACUGACCUCUCUGUCAUGUGCCAGGGCCAUGUCAGGAAGGUUUAUCUCUGGCUGCUGGACCUGUUUAUCUGUCCUUUGUAUCAGUUUCUUGGGCAGGGGGAUCUGGGACAGUGAUGGACAGGUCAAGUAACACUGCUGUGGACUGUGAAUGCAAGAUACUGAGAUGAUGUCUUAGUUUAAAAGACAGAUGUCUGCAAGGAAGGCGGGAACCUUCCUGGUAAGUGACCCUUCCCUCCAAAUUAUUAUAACUUGAAACCUAUGCAAUUUCCAGGCAAAAAUAUGAGAGAAAUAAUAACAGUUCUUUACAGGGAAAAAAAAAAAAACGUAUAUAUAUGCAACAGGACAGAACCACCACCACCAAAACAAUAUCAGAAAGUCCCCACCUGCUCAGCAGUUUCCCUGUGGCAGUGCGGGCUCGGCCAAAGGCGAGGACAGGAAAUUUUUGCUUUUUGUAAAACUCACAGGUAGCAGCCAGUGUUGGUACCACCACUGGCAGCAAGCCACGACACGGCCGUAACCCGGGAGCAGAGGCAGCCCCUCGGCAGCAGCGGGCAGAGCCGGGCAGGCAGCUGGAGCGCAGCGAUGCGCUGGGAGCAGGCACUUGCUCGCCGCAACACACGCAAGCGCUCCCUUCCAUCACCGAACGGAAAAAGGCGGGAAGCCGGCCCCCACUCCCUGUCAAGGAAAACUACUCCUUCCCCCUUCACAGCUUUUCUGCUGACAAUGGGAAGAAAUUCGUAUGGGAAACCUCACCCACAACAGAUGUCACCUCUGUUCUUGAGACACUUAUUUCCGCGUGGCUUGUGUGAUAUACUCACUGAUAUUUUAUUAUUAAUUAGUGGUUAGGGGUGAAUAAGUUUAUCUACCAAAUGUAGGUUCAAAUAAGAAAUAUGGAAGUGUCUUCAGCAUGUUUCUUUCAAUAAAGGAUUUUAUUUCCAGUUGUAA